rnacentral:rRNA from 1 species
ACGCUGGCGGCAGGCCUAACACAUGCAAGUCGAGCGGUAGCACAGGGAGCUUGCUCCUGGGUGACGAGCGGCGGACGGGUGAGUAAUGUCUGGGAAACUGCCUGAUGGAGGGGGAUAACUACUGGAAACGGUAGCUAAUACCGCAUAACGUCGCAAGACCAAAGAGGGGGACCUUCGGGCCUCUUGCCAUCAGAUGUGCCCAGAUGGGAUUAGCUAGUAGGUGGGGUAAUGGCUCACCUAGGCGACGAUCCCUAGCUGGUCUGAGAGGAUGACCAGCCACACUGGAACUGAGACACGGUCCAGACUCCUACGGGAGGCAGCAGUGGGGAAUAUUGCACAAUGGGCGCAAGCCUGAUGCAGCCAUGCCGCGUGUAUGAAGAAGGCCUUCGGGUUGUAAAGUACUUUCAGCGAGGAGGAAGGCAUUGUGGUUAAUAACCACAGUGAUUGACGUUACUCGCAGAAGAAGCACCGGCUAACUCCGUGCCAGCAGCCGCGGUAUUACGGAGGGUGCAAGCGUUAAUCGGAAUUACUGGGCGUAAAGCGCACGCAGGCGGUCUGUCAAGUCGGAUGUGAAAUCCCCGGGCUCAACCUGGGAACUGCAUUCGAAACUGGCAGGCUAGAGUCUUGUAGACGGGGGUAGAAUUCC